UACGUAGGGCGCGAGCGUUGUCCGGAAUUAUUGGGCGUAAAGAGCUCGUAGGCGGCCGGUUGCGUCUGCUGUGAAAUCCCGGGGCUUAACCCCGGGCGUGCAGUGGAUACGGGCCGGCUGGAGGCAGGCAGGGGAGAAUGGAAUUCCCGGUGUAGCGGUGAAAUGCGCAGAUAUCGGGAGGAACACCGGUGGCGAAGGCGGUUCUCUGGGCCUGUACUGACGCUGAGGAGCGAAGGCGUGGGGAGCGAACCGG
rnacentral:rRNA from 1 species